GCUGAUCCCUGGCUGUGGAGAGGAUUCUCCCGAGCCCCUGAAAAAAAAAAAAGGUGGAGAGACUUUGAAAACUUUUCUCUCGAAAAGUCUGAGGAGGCAGAGGACGGCCCGGAGUCUCGUAGCGCACCGCCCUGGUCCCACACCCCCCGCAGCCCUAGGAGGAUCGGUGUGCUGAGCUUGUGGCCAGGAGCUCCCCGAGCCACUUUCGCGCGAGCAGCAGAAAACCUGAGCCGCGGCCCGGCGAGUGUCGGCGGCGCUCUGGGGAGGAGAGGCUGGGAAGGGGCUGCGAGAGAUGCUACUUAAGAACGUGAGGCUGAGAGGCGGACUUGGUCAGAUCUGCCUGCGUGACAAGCUCAGGACAGGACGCUUCUGCCCUUGCAUUACUGUUGUAAAAGUUUCCACCCAGUCCCUGGUCGCACUGCGUUCCCAUCCCGGCAGAUGUGAACUCAAAAACUUCCUCCGCUGUGCAGUUUCAAUUGGCAGACACACCCUGUACCUGAAUGACUCAGAAGGAGGCAGAAUGAACAAACAACAGACCCCUGACUUCUGGGAUUUUGUGAGUUUGCCAAAAAAAAAAAAAAAAGAAGUGACAGUUAAUUCACAGCUGUUUUAAAGCAUUCAUCGACAGCGACGCACCCAAUACAUACCCACAGCUUCAACAACAGUACAGUGCAUAUAAUGUGGAAACCAAGAUAACGGUCCUCUAAGACUCCAGAGUAGAUCCUAAUUGGAUUUGAAGACUUAUUUCACUUAAAGGGGAAGAGGUAUAUUGUGUCUACCCAGCACAACAAAACGGGGGACUUGGCAUUCCCCCCCUUCUCCCGCCUCCACCCACACUAAUUUAUGCAUUCUUUAAAGCCAAAGGAAUCAAAGUGAAAUUUCACACCUAGUCUGUAUCAAGCAUGUGCUAGGUUAAUUUAACCUUACUGCUCUGUGAAGUAAGUAAGCAUUGCUGGCCAUUUUAUUGUUGAGAGAAGUGUCAUUCAGACAACUAAGGUGACUUGUAGAUUUCCCAGCUAGUGAGUGGCAGAGCUGGGUUCCAAAACCUAAAUAUUGCAAAUGCCUUGCCUUGUGGCUCAAACGCUAUCAGUCAAUAAAUAGUUAAGGAAUUGAAAUAUAUGUUCCUAGAGGGAAACAGACUUCUAGAUUUAAAGUUUUACAUUUGCUGCAUUUCUGACUGUACAAGUCUACAAAAUGCAUAUAAAAGUAUGCUAAUGAAUGUCCUUUUAAAACCACUCAUUUUCUACGUAAGCAUACAAAGUGUAUACAUAUGCAUAUUAAUGAAUGUUUUCUGAAACUUCUCAUUGUCUGCCUAUGAUAUCUCAUGUAACAUUGUACUUUUAGUAUUUGCACAUAGUGUUACACAUAUUAAUCCAUUUAAUCUGACAAGUUAGGCACUAUAAUUAUUCUAAUUUUACAAACAAGGAAAUUGACUCCCAGACAUAUUAAGCAGCUUGCUUAAUGUGGGACAGGCUGCAGACUCUUAACCACUACUCCAGACCACCAUGAUAAACCUCAAACAGGUUCAAGAAUUUCCUUGGGGAUAUCAGUUGUUUUCUUGUGAAUACCACUGGUUUUUAACAUUCAAUAUUGAUAAAGUGUUUUACAGAGUCCAAAAACCUUUCAGAUUGUUAUUUAAUAAUAUUCAUCUUUAGUACACACCUAUGAGAUGUAAUUGUAGAUGAUCAACUUAGGUAAAAUUAGAUAGUAGGCAAAUGUUUCCAGCAAUGGCGUCCUGGCCAAUUCCAAGUCUCUAGUUCCCAUAUAAGUCUCUUCCCAUUGCUCUCCAAGGAGGCCCUAAAAAUUGCAUUCUCAAGCUAUCUCCUGACUGCCAGUACAACUCCCUGUCUGCUGCUGCCUAGAAGUCAAGCCCAACAUUCCUACCUUAAGUUUGCUCCAUUUCCAAUUUUUGAUUUCAAAGUGGCUUUGUUGUUCUUUACACAUGCUUUAGUGUUUCUCUUUAAAAGUUUACAGAUAAAAUACCACACAAUCUUUGGAGCAUACACUAAACAAAAAUUUGUCAUAAAUGUGCCAUUCAAAUGUAACUGUGUGAGCUAUCUUUUUUUUUUUUUUUUUUUUUUGAGACAGAAUCUCACUCUAUUGCCCAGGCUGGAGUCCAGUGGCGUGAUCUCAGCUCACCGCAACCUCCGCCUCCCAGGUUCAAGCAAUUCUCCUACCUCAGCCUCCUGAAUAGCUGGGAUUACAGGCAUGCACCACCACACCCAGCUAGUUUUGUAUUUUUAGUAGAGAUGGGGUUUCACCAUGUUGUCCAGGCUGGUCUCGAACUCCUGACUUCAGGCGAUCCACCUGCCUUGGCCUCCCAAGGUGCUGGGAUUACAAGCAUGAGCCACCGAGCCCAGCCAUGAGCUAUAUUUUUUAUCUGCUAAAUAUUGCAACUCUACUCUUUUCCCUUUCCUUUUUUUUUUUCUUUUUUUCAACUGAGACAGGGUCUGGCUCUGCUCUGUCAUCCAGGCUGGAGUGCAGUGGCGAAAUCAUAGCUCACUGCAGCCUUGAUCUCCCGCCCUCAAAGGAUCCGCCUACUUCAGCCUCCCAAGCAGCUGGGACUACAGGCACCAGUCACCAUGUCCUGAUAAUUAUUAUUUUUAUUUUUUGUAUAGACAGGAGUCUCACUUUGUUGCCCAGGGUGAUCUUGAACUCCUGCGCUCAAGCAGUCCUCCCACCUUGGACUCUCAAAGUGCUGGGAUUACAAGCCUGAGCCUUACUCUCUUUCCUAAUUGCUCCAGUCACUUUCCAACUCCCUUUUCUCCCCUCUUCCCUCCCCUGACCCAGUCACUGGUAAAAAUCCAGGCUUUCCCUUACUUGUCUAUUCACAGGAGAAUAACUAGCCUCUUAUUUCAAGGAGGAAAUAGUAUGACCAUCUCAAUUUCCCUCCUCUCCAAGCUCCAGCUUAAUAGCAACUUUACCCACCCUUACCUCCUUCCCACCUGUUUCAGAAAUAAAAGCAACUUUACUCCUUUCCAAGGCAAACUCUUGCCCAGGUCAGCAUGCUGCUUCCUCCAAACUUUCUGAGACUUGGCUCAAUUAUUCUUAUUCUCCCUUGUACUUUCAGUUCUUAGCUUCUGAGGACUCUUUACUUUCAACUUACAUAAAUGUUUAUGUGUUUUCUCUACCAAAAACUCUUUCUUCCCUUCAUCCUAGGUCCCAAUAUCUCUCUCUCCUCGUUUGCCAACAUUCAAAAUUAGUGGAACAUGACUGAGCCUUGGAACAGACACUUAGGUUCAGCCUUGAUAUUGCCAGUUCUAAGCUAUGUGACUUUAGGCAAGUUCUUUUAACUUCCUUGAACCUCAGUGUCCUCAUCUGUAAAAUGAAAUAAUGAUAUUUGCCUCUUUCAUUGUGAGGAUUAAGGAGCUACAUACCUGUGAGAAUUCCCUACACUACAGAGAAAAUGCUUCACCCAUCCACCACCUCCAUCUUUUAUUAUUAUUAUUAUUAUUAUUAUUAUUAUUUUACUUUAAGUUCUGGGGCACAUGUGCAGAAUGUGCAGGUUUGUUACAUAGGUAUACACGUGCCAUGGUGGUUUGCUGCACCCGUCAAUCCGUCACCUACAUUAGGUAUUUCUCCUAAUGCUAUCUCUCCCCUAGCCCCCCACCCCCAACAGGCUCCAGUGUGUGAUGUUCCCCUCCCUGUGUCCAUGUGUUCUCAUUGUUCAAUACCCACUUAUGAGUGAGAACAUGCAGUGUUUGGUUUUCUGUUGUUGUGUUAGUUUGCUGAGAAUGAUGAUUUCCAGCUUCAUCCAUGUCCCUGCAAAGGACAUGAACUCAUCCUUUAUUAUGCCUGCAUAGUAUUCCAUGGUGUAUAUGUGCCACAGUUUCCUUUUCCAGUCCAUCAUUGGUGGACAUUUGGGUUGGUUCCAAGUCUUUGCUAUUGUGAAUAGUGCCACAAUAAACAUAUGUGUGCAUGUGUCUUUAUAGUAGAAUGAUUUAUAAUCCUUUGGGUAUAUACCCAGUAAGGGAAUUGCUGGGUCAAAUGGUAUUUCUAGUUCUAGAUCCUUGAGGAAUCGCCACACUGUCUUCCACAAUGUUGAACUAAUUUAUACUCCCACCAACAGUGUAAAAGCGUUCCUAUUUCUCCACAUCCUCUUCAGCAUCUGUUGUUUCCUGACUUUUUAAUGAUCACCAUUCUAACUGGCAUGAGAUGGUAUCUCAUUGCGGUUUUGAUUUGCAUUUCUCUAAUGACCAGUGAUUAUGAGGUUUUUUCAUAUGUUUGUUGGCUGCAUGAAUGUUGUCUUUUGAGAAGUGUCUGUUCAUAUCCUUUGCCCACUUUUUGAUAGGGUUGUUUGGUUUUUUCUUGUAAAUUUGUUUAAGUUCUUUAUAGAUUCUGGAUAUUAACCCUUUGUCAGAUGCAUAGAUUGCAAAAUUUUUCUCCCCUUAUAUAGGUUGCCUGUUCACUCUGAUGAUAGUUUCUUUUGCUAUGCAGAAGCUCUUUAGUUUAAUUAGAUCCCAUUUGUCAAUUUUGGCUUUUGUUGCCAUUGCUUUUGGUGUUUUAGACAUGAAGCAUUUGCCCAUGACUAUGUCCUGAAUGGUAUUGCCUAGGUUUUCUUCUAGGAUUUUUCUUGUUUUAGGUCUUACGUUUAGGUCUUUAAUCCAUCUUGAGUUAAUUUUUGUAUAAGGUGUAAGGAAGGGGUCCAGUUUCAGUGUUCUGCAUAUGGCUAGCCAGUUUUCCCAGCACCAUUUAUUAAAUAGGGAAUCCUUUCUCCCUUUCUUGUUUUUAUCAGGUUUGUCAAAGAUCAGAUGGCUGUAGAUGUGUGGUGUUAUUUCUGAGGCCUCUGUUCUGUUGCGUUGGUCUAUAUAUCUGUUUUGGUACCAGUACUAUACUGUUUUGGUUACUGUAGCCUUGUAGUAUAGUUUGAAGUCAGGUAGCAUGAUGCCUCCAGCUUUGUUCUUUUUGCUUAGGAUUGUCUUGGCUAUGUGGGCUCUUUUUUGAUUCCAUAUGAAAUUUAAAGUAGUUUUUCGCAAUUCUGUGAAGAAAGUCAAUGAUAGCUUGAUGGGGAUAGCAUUGAAUCUACAAAUUACUUUGGGCAGUAUGGCUAUUUUCAUGAUAUUGAUUCUUCCUAUCCAUGAGCAUGGAAUGCUUUUCCAUUUGUUUGUGUCUUCUUUUAUUUCCUUGAGCAGUGGUUUGUAGUUCUCCUUGAAGAGGUCCUUCACAUCCCUUGUAAGCUGUAUUCCUAUAUAUUUUAUUCUCUUUGUAGCAAUUGUGAAUGGGAGUUCACUCAUGAUUUGUCUCUCUGUCUGUUAUUGGUGUAUAGGAAUGCUUGUGAUUUUUGCACAUUGAUUUUGUAUCCUGAGACUUUGCUGAAGUUGCUUAUCAGCUUAAGGAGAUUUUGGGCUGAGAUGGUGGGAUUUUCUAAAUAUACAAUCAUGUUAUCUGCAAACAGAGACAAUUUGAUUUCCUCUUUUCCUGUUUGAAUACCCUUUAUUUCUUUCUCUUGCCUGACUGCCCUGGCCAGAACUUCUAAUACUAUGUUGAAUAGGAGUGGUGAGAGAGGGCAUCCUUGUCUUGUGCUGGUUUUCAAAGGGAAUGCUUCCAGCUUUUGCCCAUUUAGUAUGAUAUUGGCUGUGGGUUUGUCACAAAUAUCUCUUAUUAGUUUGAGAUACAUUCCAUCAAAACCUAGUUUAUUGAGAGUUUUCAGCAUGAAGAGGUGUUGAAUUUUGUUGAAGGCCUUCUCUGCAUCAAUUGAGAUAAUCAUGUGGUUUUUGUCAUUGGUUCUGUCUAUGUGAUGGAUUACGUUUAUCUAUUUGCAUAUGCUGAACCAGCCUUGCAUCCCAGGUAUGAAGCUGACUUGACCGCACCACAUUUGUCUUUAACUGUCUUUAAGUGCAAUCAUUGCUUUCACCAUCCCACUUUCCAUUUUUUUAUUCACUUUGCUUUUUAAUUUUCCAAUAAAAUUUUAAAGUCAAAAUAAUAUGUGCAUAUCAUUUUAAAGAGAUCAAAUGGUACAAAACUUGAAAAGAAGAGCAUUAGUCCUCCGAGGUUCCCUGGUUCACCAAUUUUUCCAGUCACUGUGAAGUCUUGUUGAUUUUCUUCUGGUAGCCAUUUGCAAAUCUUGAAAUCCCAUGUUUUAUACCUCCAUUUCUUCAUUAUCAAUCUUAUAACAAUAUCUAUAGGUUUUCUGCCAUGUUGAAGGAGUAUUAAUUAACUUGAAGAAGGAUGCUUAUAUUAUAAACUUUCUGAAUUCUUGCAUGUCUGACAUUUUAAAUAUUCUAUUAUUUACUUGAAUAAUAUUUUGACUAGGUAUCAAGUUAAAAGUUGUAAGUCAUUUCCCCUGAGAAUUUUGAAAGCAUUACUCUUUUGUCUUUUAAUUUCUAGGGCUACUGAUAAAGAGCAUAAAGCUAUUCUGAUUUCAAAACUUCACAGCUGACUAUUUUUUGUCUCUGGAUGUUUUUAGAAACUUCUCUGUCUCUUCAGUAUUCCAGAGUGACAUGAUGAUAUACCUUGAUUUUCUAAGUCCUUUGCAGUUCUGAAAAUUAUCUGAAAUUAUUUCUUUAAUGACUUCAUCUUCUCUCCAGUUUUUCUAUUUUCCCUUUUUGCAAAUCCCACUAUUCAGAUUGUGGACCAUCUAUCUAGCCUGAUUUUUAAAUUUCCUCCUAUUUUAUUUUCCUUUUUGUACUUUCAAUCCUUCAGUUAAUAGCUCUCUUUUCACUCUCAUACUUUAAUUUCCAAGGGCUCUCUUUUUCUUUUCUGAAUGUUACAUUUUUACAGAACUCUGUUCUUAUGUUAGGGAUACCACAUCUUUACUUAUCUCUGAGGAUAUCAGAGUGUUGUUGUUGUUUUUGUUGUUGACAUUUUCUCCUAUUUUCUUUGUUGUCACACUUUCCUAUUUGUUUUGCUCUCAGUUCUUUGUGCCAUUGGCUUUCCCAAUUGUCAGAUGAUCUCUGGCCGUCCAUUUAUAUUUCAAACAGAGGCUAAAAUAGAGGCAAAUCAGAAAGCUAAUUUAAAACUUUGUGUGGGGGCUUGUCAAUGGAGGGGUGGUAAAUGAUCAGGAUAAACACUUUCGUUGAGUAUGCCAAAUGUCAAUAUCUGGAGUUCUCAAGUUUUGGGCAGGUCAGUUUUGCCAGACAGAAAUUCUAAAAUCUCUUGUCUGACUUCUAGCAUUUUCCGGAGUGAACCAAGAAAGAAAAGUGGGAGAGUGAAGGAGGGAACACCUCACCAUUUGAUAUUUAGAUUUGAACUGAAUCACCAUGAUGGGAACCCCCUCUACACACUCAGCUCCAUCAGGUGUCUCUGACUCCAGUGACCCUCUGAUUUAACCCAUUCAGAGAAGAAACCUCCAGUCUUCUCCUGGAAUGAGCGUACCGACACUUAUCCUAUUGUACAGGUUGGAGAUGAAGGGCUGGAUAUUUGGCAGCUUAUUUUAAUUAAAACAAUUUUAUUUAAAAAUCAAAAAGGAAUCCUUUUGUAGUUCAUAAGCGUGAUCACUGGGUGUUUACGCACGUGUGAGAUAUGCCAUCCUUGAACCUUGUUAUGAUGUCAGCACAUUACCCAUCUGACAUAAAGAAAAAAAAUCAAACAGGAAAAUAAACAGAAAGUAAAAUAAUGAAGGCAAUGACUACAACAGGGCUAGAGAGAAGUGGUUGGGUGAGUGUGAAAUAUUUUCUCACUGCUAUAGUGGAUACCCUAUAAUCAGGCUUCUUGUUUUCAGAUAAGCAUUUAUUGCCAUUUUCAUAAAUACCUGGAGCUUCUAAGUCCUCUUAUUUGAGGAUCUGUAGUGGGAAUUUGGUUUGCUUCUACAAUCCUCCUGCUAUGGGCUUAGGUCUCAACUUUCUCUGGUUUGUCAAGCCACUUACACACAGUUUGUUUUCUAAAACUUUAUUGCUAUUGUUAGAGGCAAAAUUAACUUUGAAACCAAUGUAGCUUAAACUUGAGUCCUACACUUCCAAAUCCUGGAAGGAACCCAGCAAUAUGUCCCCAAGAUUAUAUGUUUUUGUAAAAUAUUAAAAGCAUGGUAUUUUAACCAAAAUUGGCUAUGACUGACACAGAUCACUGUCUUCUUCCAUUAGGACGUUCCCUCUGUCUCAUUUUCUCUUGUGUAGGAGUGAUUUUGGAGUUGUUGAAGGUAUUUUUGGUUUAUAGGACUAUUUCAACUACCCUCUAUGGCUGCCAUGAUACAAAAGUACAGGGCUGGUGUCACGUGACUGAGCCAGGAGCUAGUCUGGGGGAAAUUCAUCCAAAAUACCAUAUGCAAAUUAUAAUUUGAGGAUUUGAUUCUCAUUGACACCUAAUUAAAACAAAAGUUCUAUUCUUCUCAGAAUAUAUUUACUAACUCAGUAUAUAUAAUUAUAAACACAUCACACUUGUUUUUCCAUCUUCUUCUUUUUUUUUUUUUUGACACAGAGUCUCACUCUGUUGCCCAGGCUGGAGUGCAGUGGCAUGAUCUCGGCUCACUGCAACCUCCGCCUCCCAGGUUUAAGCAAUUCUCCUGCCUCAGCCUCCCAAGUAGCUGGGACUACAGGUGCACAUCAUCACACCUGGUUAAUUUUUAUAUUUUUAGUAGAGACGGGGUUUCAUCAUGUUGCCCAGGCUGGUCUCAAAAUCCUGACCUCAAGUGAUUCACCCGCCUCAGCCUCCCAAAGUGCUGGGAUUACAGGCACUCACUACCAGCUGGAAUUUUUGUAUUUUCAGUAGAGACAAGGUUUUACUAUGUUGGUCAGGCUGGUCUCAAAC
rnacentral:lncRNA from 1 species